AGAGUUUGAUCCUGGCUCAGAGCGAACGCUGGCGGCAGGCUUAACACAUGCAAGUCGAGCGGGCGUAGCAAUACGUCAGCGGCAGACGGGUGAGUAACGCGUGGGAACGUACCUUUUGGUUCGGAACAACACAGGGAAACUUGUGCUAAUACCGGAUAAGCCCUUACGGGGAAAGAUUUAUCGCCGAAAGAUCGGCCCGCGUCUGAUUAGCUAGUUGGUAGGGUAAUGGCCUACCAAGGCGACGAUCAGUAGCUGGUCUGAGAGGAUGAUCAGCCACAUUGGGACUGAGACACGGCCCAAACUCCUACGGGAGGCAGCAGUGGGGAAUAUUGGACAAUGGGGGCAACCCUGAUCCAGCCAUGCCGCGUGAGUGAUGAAGGCCCUAGGGUUGUAAAGCUCUUUUGUGCGGGAAGAUAAUGACGGUACCGCAAGAAUAAGCCCCGACUAACUUCGUGCCAGCAGCCGCGGUAAUACGAAGGGGGCUAGCGUUGCUCGGAAUCACUGGGCGUAAAGGGUGCGUAGGCGGGUUUUUAAGUCAGGGGUGAAAUCCUGGAGCUCAACUCCAGAACUGCCUUUGAUACUGAAGAUCUUUGAGUCCGGGAGAGGUGAGUGGAACUGCCAAGUGUANAGG
rnacentral:rRNA from 1 species